rnacentral:rRNA from 1 species
UGGGAACGCGAAGAACCUUACCAGGGCUUGACAUCCUACUAAUGAAGCAGAGGUGCAUUAAGUGCCCUUCGGGGAAAGUAGAGACAGGUGGUGCAUGGUUGUCGUCAGCUCGUGUCGUGAGAUGUUGGGUUAAGUCCCGCAACGAGCGCAACCCCUAUUGUUAGUUGCUACGCAAGAGCACUCUAGCGAGACUGCCGUUGACAAAACGGAGGAAGGUGGGGACGACGUCAAAUCAUCAUGCCCCUUAUGUCCUGGGCCACACACGUAAUACAAUGGCGUUAAACAGAGGGAUGCUAAGCCGUGAGGUGGGGCGAACCCCUAAAAGGCGUCUCAGUUCGGAUUGCAGGCUGCAACUCGCCUGCAUGAAGUCGGAAUCGCUAGUAAUCGCGGAUCAGAAUGCCGCGGUGAAUACGUUCCCGGGUC